GAUGAACGCUAGCUACAGGCUUAACACAUGCAAGUCGAGGGGCAGCACAGAGAUAGCUUGCUAUCUUGGGUGGCGACCGGCGCACGGGUGAGUAACGCGUAUCCAACCUGCCCAUUGCUCUGGGAUCGCCUUGCGAAAGUAAGAUUAAUACCGGAUGUUGUUAAAAACCCGCAUGAGUUUUUAACCAAAGAUUUAUUGGUAAUGGAUGGGGAUGCGUGACAUUAGGUAGUUGGUGAGGUAACGGCUCACCAAGCCUACGAUGUCUAGGGGUUCUGCGAGGAAGGUCCCCCACACUGGAACGGAGACACGGGCCAGACUCCUACGGGAGGCAGCAGUGAGGAAUAUUGGUCAAUGGACGAGAGUCUGAACCAGCCAAGUAGCGUGCAGGAUGACGGCCCUCUGGGUUGUAAACUGCUUUUAGUUGGGAAUAAAAAGAGGGACGUGUCCCUAAUUGUAUGUACCAUCAGAAAAAGGACCGGCUAAUUCCGUGCCAGCCGCCGCAGUAAUAC
rnacentral:rRNA from 1 species